UCGGACAAUAUCACUGGAUCUUCAAAUAUGUGGAUUUCAACGUGGCGGAAAUGUAUUAGAAAAAGGUGUAGAAGGAUGUUGGAAAAUA
ensembl:miRNA mir-8199 miscRNA